ACCGAAUCUCAUGUCACAGUGUGAACACUUGUAAGGUUUCUCUCCAGUGUGGAUCCUCUCAUGUGUUUUCAGACUUGAUGAUUGACUGAAUCUCUUGUCACAGUGUGAACACUUGUAAGGUUUCUCUCCAGUGUGGAUCCUCUCAUGUGUUUUCAGACUUGAUGACACACUGAAUCUCUUGUCACAGUGUGAACACUUGUAAGGAUUCUCUCCAGUGUGGAUGUUCAUGUGAUCCUUAAGGUUUGAUGAUUGUGUGAAAAUCUUCCCGCACUGAUUGCAAGUGAAAGAUACCUUAACUCUUUUUUUCUUUAAAUCUUUCUGUUUGGUUUGAGAGCAACUCAAAGUAUUCCCACCAGUUUUGACAUUAUUUUUCUCCUCAACUUCACGCGAUUCUUCAUUUUCCUCUUUUCCUUC